CUCUGUUUGAAGAGAAUGCAAAAGACCAUCCAGCCUUAAACCCCUGAGAUUAGGGGCAAUAUUUACUGAAGUCCAGUAGAUGCUCCUUUAACUUGGUGGCCGGGACGUGCUCCAAAGUCCCUAGUCCUGCGGUCCCCCCGCUCCCCCCACUCCCGCCUCUCGCUUCAAAGCUGGUGUCCUUGCAGAAACCAUGUGAGUCACGGCGCUGAGACAUAACACUACAGCCACCCAGUAAAGGCGGCCAGAGGGUUGAAUGCGGAUCCACCGAUAUUAACCUCCACUUGGCAAACAUCAGUCGUCCUUCUUUCUUUAAAUCUGGUAACAGAAUUAAGUCAAAUCCUCGAAACAAACAGAACUCUGGAAUCAGCAGAUGAGAACAAGAAAACGUCUCUUGAAGGAAAUAGAUAAAAGCACUGGAUUAAACCUCUGAUUUCUCAAACGGUCAAACUACACCCAUGGAAAUUUGAACAAAACUCAGUGGAAAACUCUAAGAAAUACUACAAUUGCGGUCUUCAUAUAUGCACCCUGCUUCUAUCAUUAAUGGAAGUGGUCUGUAAGUCUGAAAAAAGACCCCCUUCUGUGGUGGCUUGUUUAAUUCAGCACUUGAGGUCUGUGGGGUUCCUUGCCGCUGCAUGCGACGAGACUGGGACCGCUGUAGCUGUCCCAGCGACUCUGCUGGCUGCAACCUCCCCUCCGGCUGACCUCGGGGCGGU